GCUGGGCAUAUACUAAAAUUGGAAGGAUACAGAGAAGAUUAGCAUGGCCCCUGAGCAAGGAUGACAAUGCAAAUUUGUGAAGCAUUCCAUAUUCUU
rnacentral:snRNA from 1 species